AACUCCGAUCUAUUGUGCUGGAUUGAAAAGAUCGAUGAUGAAAAACAAGCGCCGGCUGGUGAGAGGCGAUGAAGAGCAACGCCCUUACAAAAGGGUAGCUAGGCCAACGAGAUUGGACAGCUCGAGUGGAUCCAGUCCAGGCGCCCUGAGUGAACUUAGUGAGCAAG